CCACUGAGAUGACCCAUAGUACCCCAUUCCUUGCUGCAAUGUAAUUAUAUUUAAUUACAAGUGUGCCCCUGGUAGUCUUUAACUGAAGGGCACUGACUGGGUCACUGGUGAAGUUCCCCGCAGGAACUGAGUCAGACCCCAUCUCAGGGCCCUGCACAAGAUAGGUGCCUGCUCUAAGGCGUGGACCCUCGCCACAGCCCUGGCCCGUCUUGACGGGCGAGGGUUACUGUACUUGUCCCAACCGUACAGAUGAGAAAGCUGAGACUCAGGGCCAGCAACCCGGGUCCCAGCGGAGCGCCCGGCACACGCCGACACUUCAGCACCAGUGGCGGUGGCCACCACUGUGGGCGGAGAUGGCUGCGACGCGUGCGCAGGGAAAUUUGUGCACAGAGAUAACACAGGGGAUAUGCCAUAUGAAGAUGAAGGCAGAAUUCUACAAGCCCAGGGAUGCCAAAGAUUGCCAGCAAACCACCAGAAGCUAGGAGAGAAGUGUGGAUUAGAUUCUUCCUCACAGCCCUCAGAAGGAUCCAGCCCUGCCAAGAACUUGAUCUCAGACUUCUAGUCUCCAGAACUGUGAGACAGUGCAUUUUGUUUUGUAAGUCAGCCAUAUGGUUUGUGGCACUUUUUUAUGGCAGCCCUAGGAGAUGAAGACAAUAUGCAACAUGGUAUGUCCAUUAUAGGACACUGUGGGCCAUAAAUGUGUUCUUUGGCCUGAAGAAAUAAAACUUGGUGGUCCAAG
rnacentral:lncRNA from 1 species